CCCUUAGAUGUCCUGGGCCGCACGCGCGUUACACUGAUGCAUUCAACGAGCUUAUAACCUUGGCCGAGAGGCCUGGGCAAUCUUGUUAACGUGCAGCGUGAUAGGGAUAGAUUAUUGAAAUUAUUAAUCUUGAACGAGGAAUUCCUAGUAAACGCAGAUCAUCAAUCUGCAUUGAUUACGUCCCUGCCCUUUGUACACACCGCCCGUCGCACCUACCGAUUGGAUGGUCCGGUGAAGCCUCGGGAUUGUGGUUCUUGCCGCUUUAUUGUGGCGUGACCGCGAGAACUUGUCUAAACCUUAUCAUCUAGAGGAAGGUGAAGUCGUAACA
rnacentral:rRNA from 1 species